UAUAGAUUAGUGCAGCUUUAAUGCCCCUUAAAAUAAAAUAAUAAUCACUGUUAGUGUUUUUAAAUGUUUCAUCUUGCUCUAUUUCAUCAAGCAGGCACCAAACCACAAUGGCAGUUUGAGGGAGACAGUGGGACAUGGUAUGAGUUCAUAUACAAGAGGGGCACAACUGAAUGUUCAGUAAACAGCGAUGAAAUCGAGAGGAAGUACCAG